UACAAAGGUUGAUUAAGAGAGCUGCAUGAUUUUAAAGUGAUGUUGUGUGAGGAGAAUUAAGUUCUGUGUGAUAGUUCCGGGAAAUGGGAGCCACCAUAACUAAGGAGAAAUAAUGUAUGGGCAAUAGGGGGAGAACAUAUUUCCACAGAGUGCUUGAAGUAAUACUCAUUUACAAUUUAACAAAGUCCUCUCUCUCCUCUGGAAGAAUUGUAUUAUGGAUCUUGAAAACAAGCAAUGAAUUACAAUGAAGACACCGAGAGGUGAUCCCUGCUCUUGUUUCAGCAAAAGAUACAGCUACAUUAUGGAGGUGAAACAUGACUUUUGAUGAUCAAGCAUGCAGUGAUUAAAUAAGAUGUGGGCAUGAAGUGAAAUGAUGGAGAAGGUUUUUCCUCUGCUAUCUGUCACUGGAGUCUGUCUAAGCUCUGGAGAGCAUCAUCAUGACAGAAAAGGAAAAGCAAGAUAUUCCAGGAGAGAAGAGCAGAGCUUUACCUGCUAAACAAAAGAGAGAGAUAAACUUGGAACUGAAGAGACUGGGAGAAAGCAAUUUAGAGCUCAUUUGCUUAUCCUCCUAAUGCAGAUUUUUUUUAGCACACCGUCUGUGAUAUCUAUUUUUCUUGGCUAUGGUUCUCAUCAUUCUCUCUUUCUUCCUCACCUUUGUAGUUUGAUCUUCAUUCUCCGCACACCGGCUGCACAUGUCAGCAUGAAACAAUAGGUUCCCAUUACACUUGGCCUCUUUCAUCUCCUCUGGAAACUGACAUACGUUUGUUCUGUUUGUGUUAGUGUGGAAACAUUUCCCAGAUCCGUUGGUUAAAAUCGUGUGCGCUGUAUUACAAAUUAUGUUCCUAUAAUUGAAUGUAUUUAUUUUGGAGACUAAAAAUCUCUGAUGAGACAAUUUCAAUACAAUUUUAAAUCUUAAAAUAAAAUUAUU